GGCGAACGCUGGCGGCGUGCUUAACACAUGCAAGUCGAACGGAAAGGCCCUGCUUUUGUGGGGUGCUCGAGUGGCGAACGGGUGAGUAACACGUGAGUAACCUGACCUUGACUUUGGGAUAACUUCAGGAAACUGGGGCUAAUACCGGAUAGGAGCUCCUGCUGCAUGGUGGGGGUUGGAAAGUUUCGGCGGUUGGGGAUGGACUUGCGGCUUAUCAGCUUGUUGGUGGGGUAGUGGCUUACCAAGGCUUUGACGGGUAGCCGGCCUGAGAGGGUGACCGGCCACAUUGGGACUGAGAUACGGCCCAGACUCCUACGGGAGGCAGCAGUGGGGAAUAUUGCACAAUGGGCGGAAGCCUGAUGCAGCAACGCCGCGUGCGGGAUGACGGCCUUCGGGUUGUAAACCGCUUUCGCCUGUGACGAAGCGUGAGUGACGGUAAUGGGUAAAGAAGCACCGGCUAACUACGUG
rnacentral:rRNA from 1 species